GGCUGACACCAUGGAAGGUAUCUCUCUCCCUCUCAUCAUGCUCUACCCUGGGUAUAAUCCUAUUUGCUUACUACACCACCACAUUAGCCAUCAAAUUUGUGACAAGAAAACUGAAACCCUCUUCCUUUCUUCCGAGAGGACAGGUCAGGUCCUUGCUUGCUAGAUUUGAUCUAUUUAUCUGCAUUGUGAAGUAACAACGGUUCUUUGGUCCAUGUUAAGAUGUCAAUAAACUAUUUGUUUGUUGAAACAACCAUCGAUCACUCUCAGAUACUGUUGACUGAUUUCUGUUGCUAGUAUAGUUCAAGCUUCUUUGCCAUGUAUUUCAUUAGGAUGUGAACAAUCUACUACAUGCUCACAAAGCUAUUGACUUACAUUUUUUGUUUCUGUGCUGUCAAUGUUUGCCAAGCUAUUUAAACGAUGAUGACAAACUGAAAUCAUGAAUACUCAUAUAGAAACUUGAACAACCAUCUUGUUUAAUUUGGUGAUGUUCCUCCAUGCUAAGAGCUAAUCUGCUGCAUUGUUAUUCAACUUUCAUUGAUAGUUUUAGUUUCGCUGAAAUCAUGUUUUCUUUUCUAUGCUUAUGUCUGUGGACGAACACUACUAGCUCCAGAAGGACCGACAUUACCAUCAAGUACGCCAUCGAGGUAAUUCACCAUCCAUCAUCAACUAUGCUUUGCUCUCCUUAGUUUUUCUCUUUGCUGUAAAGCACAAAUAAAAUUUAAGCUAUGUAGAUUAAUUGAUCUAAAGAGGGUCAAAGAGGAUGUGACAACAUGUUUACUGCCUUAUUAUCUUCUGCUUGAUCUGACACUAUUUAUGUCCAAACCUUUUUUGCUUGUCGUCAUCACCCAUUUGUUGGGCUGUAUAAGUGUAUCUGUUGUCCAAUUUGCUCCAUCAUAUUUCCUGAUGUACUUCUACAUAUAUAUGUUGGUUGUAAUCUGCUUGAACAAUCCAAGUACUUGAUAUUCCAUUCUAUUCUUGUAGGUGAAUGGAGCUUGUGUUGUUGGUAGAACUCCGUUGAUGACUUCUUCCUAUGUUGAAGAGCAUGUUCUGUGGUAUCCAAGAGUAGCUAGCUUUUAUACUGGCAGAGGGGUUUAUUUGUAGAUCCCGAUAUUUAU
rnacentral:lncRNA from 1 species